rnacentral:lncRNA from 1 species
GACGUCAGAGCGCCCAGCUCCGGCUGCGUUGCUGGGACUUCCAGAGCCUUGCUUACACCGUUGAAGACCUGGUGUUCAGACAGCGCUUUCCCUCUCCCACUCGGCUCGGAGCCAAGCGCCGCCUCUUUUCGCUCUUCCGAGAACUUUGAACCCCGCCCUGAACGCAAGGUGAUCGGCGCAGAGACAAGAGGGCAAAGCUGUGCGCAUUCUCGUUUUUAUUUCAUUGUUGACCCGGCGGCGGCGCGAGAGCCGCGCGCCCUCCUUUGAGGGGAAGCCGAAGUCAGGAACGCGAGGACUUGAGAAGGUGGCUGAGGUAUAUGGAGGCAACCAGGGCAACCACCACAGCUACAACCUUGUCAAAGUACUCCAAACGGUGUCUCCACUAUGGGCUUCCUUCCUUCCCCAGCUGCUCUCCCUGCUUGCUCCUUGCCUUGCCCCAAGGCCUGGGAAGAAGGGGUUGGUUCCCUGCCAUCCUUCCUGCCCCGACUCACCAUUAGCCCUUCCACGAUCCCGAAGUUUUCAUGAAUAACCUUGGCGAGAGGAGCCAGGCAGUUGGUGGUACAGGAUGCAUUGCUGAAACGGCCAUAGCAUGCCAGAUGAGUGGCAGAGCCACCCCUUCUCCACUACUCUUACUUUACCAGGUUGAGAGUACUUCGGCAAUUCCUGCAAUAGAACUUGAGUUUGGCAUGACCCCUCCGACCUACAGUCCUGCCUUCAGCCUUCCUCCAAACACGCUGUCACACCUCAUCUUCAGCAAGUUAAAAGGGAAGCUGAGAGUGUCUUGCCUGAGAAGGAGCCAGAAGACCUUGCCUGGGGCUCCAGAGGGUUGGGUGCUUCUCUGUUUGCAAAGUAACGCUGGGUGUUCCCAGGGAAGGGCCAUAUGUCUCCAUGUGAAAACCACCUCCCUCUCUCAGAUAACACGAGUUCAGAUUCCAAUACUGCUGUGGAGUGGAUCACAACCCUAUGUGACUCCAGCUCCAGGACUGCUGACAGCUUCAUCUGGCCUCCCUAAGUACCUGUGUGGUCCCAGAUUCUGUCUUUCCUCUUGAGGGUGUCUGGAUCCUGACGUCUGGAGUAGGUGGGGUCUGCAGUCUUCCUUUCCCCUCCAGGGCAUCAGACGCCCCUGCCCACCAGGGCGGGAGGGGUGAAGCAGGGUCAGAGAAGAAUAUUGCGGUUCCGUGUCUUCUACUGUCUUCUUCCGGGUUGGGGGGUUGCUUCUCCAAGAAUCUUAGUGCUAUGACUCUUAGGCAAAGGCCUUCUCUGGCUAUCUUUAAUGAAGCGGCUCUCAGAGAUG